UGGAGCACUCUGUUCCGUGGCAAAACGCCGUGGAAAAGGUGUCCUCAGAGCCCACACUGGGAGCCCCACGCUGGAGCCUGACCCAGGGCUCUGUGCUUCAGGCCGCCCUCACCAACUACAUGUCACUAAAAGAAGGUUACAGGCCAUAAACUGAACACUCAGUACAUUACUCAUCUGCCCGGUGUACACACCCACAAGUUCGCUGGAGGAGCCAUCAGCAGGAGCACUGCAACAAGCUCCUCAAAACUACAGCUGCCUCCAUCCUAGAAUUCAUAAAUUAACACGGAUUUUAAUUAAACACUAGAAGAGAAGCAAGAUGAAGAUUCUUGAAUCAGCUGGCUUUGUUGGCUCAGAAAGAAACACCGGGAGCCUCAAGUUCUUGUAUAAGAAAUGGGCGGGCACCCUUUUAAUUUCUAUUUGAAAACUAUUAAAUUCAAAAUUAAGUGAAUGCCUCUAAUGUGCACAUACUUAAGAAUAAGCAAAGAGAAAGUAAGUAUUAAUGUCCAUGAAUACUCAAAAUGGCUAUUCCAGUCACUCAGCAUUCAAAAUACACAAGCAUCUGGGAGCUUAAGGUUCUACUGAAUGCUACCAAGAAUAUUAGUAAUUUUCCUUUCCAAAGCUGUUACGACAACACUUUAAAAUUUCAAGAAUGACUCAUCGCUCUACAUGAGAAAGUUUAUAUAAGAACUGUGGGAGCAAAAAAAAAGACCCAGGAUGAAUUACACAGAGGUCUUUUGAAAGCUAACUGCGAAAUUAAAGGUCAUGUUACUAUCUCGGAGGCUUAAGUGCCCUUCCUUUGGAAGAGGAAGUUAUGGAAGUAGGUCUUCACCUCCUCAGUGGGGACCUACAAAUUGUUCUCAGAGAUGCCACAAAGGGCUGGAGAGGAGAGAAUGCACUAGGGAAGUCAAGCUGAGGUUCCCCAGGGAUUUCAAUGAUUAUCCCAACCUUGUGAAAAGUGCCUGGUUGACUCUGUAGACCAAGAAAUGGAGAAACCAAAACUUUCCUUCCAGUCUCACUAUCAGCUCUUUGCCAGGACCACAGCUUAAAAUAACCCAGCCACAUUUUCUUCAGUGACUCAAUCCAGUCCCUCAAGGGUCUCAAUGAAGUAGGAGCUGAAACUCGGAAAGAGCAGCUUAUUUAUUUGCAAGUGCCCAUUCACAUAGAUUCUUGCUCUCUUUUUGCUUGUGCUAACAAGAUAACAUCCCAGACUCCAUACAUUUUUGACUUGACACCCCACAGUCAAUGGGCUUGCAUCCCAAAUAUGAAUUUUUAAUUUGUAAAAUAUAUGCAUGUAACAAUACACUAUAUUAUGCAUAUUAUACAACAUGAAUAGAAAUAGGAAAUUUAAAAGAUUAAGAAAAAUAAAUAUAAACAGAUCUUCUAAUACAUCUUCAAAUACUGGCUUACACACUCCUGUGGAUUUGACCUGUGAGCUAUAAUUUGCUGAUCCCUGUUAUAGAUCCUAAAAAUCUCAGCCUUGCUAUAGAUACCUGCUCCUAGACUAGGAUCUUCGAAGAUCUCAGCUCACAUUCCAGACUUCUCUAGAUACAAGGGUACUUUUUGGGUUUGGAAUUUAGCUUUGGGCUGUUUCCCAAUUAGGUGUCAACUAGAACUGAAAGAAAUUAAAUAUGGCUAGACUCAGGAGUGGGUUAAGACUUGGAGGCUGUAGAUGUGAGACCUUACAGUAGCUUGAACAAGAAGAGUGUGAAUUAACAUGUGCUGUAAGUGUAGAAUACACAUCAGAUUUCUAAGACUCAGAACAAAAAAAAAUGUAAGAGAUUUCAUUAACUUUUUUAUAUCUCUUACAUGUUGAAAUAGUAUUUUGGCCAUAUUGGGUUGAAUAAAAUACAUUAUUAAAAUUAA